AGUGAACGCUGGCGGUAGGCCUAACACAUGCAAGUCGAACGGCAGCACAGUAAGAGCUUGCUCUUACGGGUGGCGAGUGGCGGACGGGUGAGGAAUACAUCGGAAUCUACUUUUUCGUGGGGGAUAACGUAGGGAAACUUACGCUAAUACCGCAUACGACCUACGGGUGAAAGCAGGGGAUCUUCGGACCUUGUGCGAUUGAAUGAGCCGAUGUCGGAGUAGCUAGUUGGCGGGGUAAAGGCCCACCAAGGCGACGAUCCGUAGCUGGUCUGAGAGGAUGAUCAGCCACACUGGAACUGAGACACGGUCCAGACUCCUACGGGAGGCAGCAGUGGGGAAUAUUGGACAAUGGUCGCAAGCCUGAUCCAGCGAUACCGCGUGGGUGAAGAAGGCCUUCGGGUUGUAAAGCCGUUUUGUUGGGAAAGAAAAGCAGCAGGUUAAUACCACGCUGUUCUGACGGUACCCAAAGAAUAAGCACCGGCUAACUUCGUG
rnacentral:rRNA from 1 species